rnacentral:rRNA from 1 species
CUGGCUCAGGACGAACGCUGGCGGCGUGCCUAAUACAUGCAAGUCGAGCGGACAGAUGGGAGCUUGCUCCCUGAUGUUAGCGGCGGACGGGGGAGUAACACGUGGGUAACCUGCCUGUAAGACUGGGAUAACUCCGGGAAACCGGGGCUAAUACCGGAUGGUUGUUUGAACCGCAUGGUUCAAACAUAAAAGGUGGCUUCGGCUACCACUUACAGAUGGACCCGCGGCGCAUUAGCUAGUUGGUGAGGUA